CAAGCUUAAUUUUUCGAGGAAAUUACAACACAGCAAAAAAAAAAUCUGAGAUAUAGCCAUGAACAAAGAAAACAAAGUGAUCUCAAAUUUCUUCAUUACAUUCCUUGUUUCCAGAAUGUGAGUUCUCUUGUGCCCUUCCUUUUUCUGUGGUACUGGAAAUUAUGCCAGAUGGAAGAAGAUGCUUACAGGUGACUUUCAUGGGGGGGUUUUCAGUUCUUUGGACUUCAAAGCAACUAUAGAGUAUGUUGAAACACACUGAUCCCUGAAUGAGGCCU
rnacentral:lncRNA from 1 species